CGUCGGGGACGACCCCGGCGCUCAUCGAAAAACUGCGGGACGGCCCGCA
rnacentral:ncRNA from 1 species